rnacentral:sRNA from 1 species
CGAUUUGCAGCAUCUGCGGACCCACGAAGUGAACGUGGGUGUCCACCGCCCCUGCCGUCAUGAUCAGCCCGUUGCCAGACAUGAUCUCGGUCGAUGGCCCGAUCACCAGAUCAGGAUGCACGCCGUCCAUGGUGUCAGGGUUGCCUGCCUUGCCCAAUGCGACGAUACGACCGUCCCGAACGCCCACAUCCGCUUUGAUAACGCCCCAGUGGUCAAGAAUAACGGCGCCGGUGAUCACCAGAUCGGGCGUACCUUCAGCGCGUGUGGCACACGAUUGUCCCAUCGACUCG